CCAGACUCCUACGGGAGGCAGCAGUGAGGAAUAUUGGUCAAUGGGCGAGAGCCUGAACCAGCCAAGUCGCGUGAAGGAUGACGGCCCUACGGGUUGUAAACUUCUUUUGUCAGGGAGCAAUUGAGUCCACGUGUGGUCUUAGCGAGAGUACCUGAAGAAAAAGCAUCGGCUAACUCCGUGCCAGCAGCCGCGGUAAUACGUAGGGGGCAAGCGUUAUCCGGAUUCACUGGGUGUAAAGGGAGCGUAGACGGCGACGCAAGUCUGGAGUGAAAGCCCGGGGCCCAACCCCGGGACUGCUCUGGAAACUGCGUCGCUGGAGUACGGGAGGGGCAGGCGGAAUUCCUGGUGUAGCGGUGAAAUGCGUAGAUAUCAGGAGGAACACCGGCGGCGAAGGCGGCCUGCUGGACCGUGACUGACGUUGAGGCUCGAGAGCGUGGGGAGCAAACAGGAUUAGAUACCCCAGUAUGA
rnacentral:rRNA from 1 species